UGUAGCCGCCGCGGUAAUACGUAGGUGGCAAGCGUUGUCCGGAUUUACUGGGCGUAAAGGGAGCGUAGGUGGAUAUUUAAGUGGGAUGUGAAAUACUCGGGCUUAACCUGGGUGCUGCAUUCCAAACUGGAUAUCUAGAGUGCAGGAGAGGAAAGUAGAAUUCCUAGUGUAGCGGUGAAAUGCGUAGAGAUUAGGAAGAAUACCAGUGGCGAAGGCGACUUUCUGGACUGUAACUGACACUGAGGCUCGAAAGCGUGGGGGAACAAGAGUUAGAUACCCUGGUAGUCCUCGCCGUAAACGAUGAAUACUAGGUGUAGGGGUUGUCAUGACCUCUGUGCCGCCGCUAACGCAUUAAGUAUUCCGCCUGGGGAGUACGGUCGCAAGAUUAAAACUCAAAGGAAUUGACGGGGGCCCGCACAAGCAGCGGAGCAUGUGGUUUAAUUCGAAGCAACGC
rnacentral:rRNA from 1 species